rnacentral:rRNA from 1 species
GAUGAACGCUAGCGAUAGGCCUAACACAUGCAAGUCGAGGGGCAUCACAUGAAGUAGCAAUACGGAUGGUGGCGACCGGCGCACGGGUGAGUAACACGUAUGCAACCUGCCUUCAACAAGGGGAUAACCCGUUGAAAGACGGACUAAUACCCUAUAACACAGGGGUCCCGCAUGGGAAUAUUUGUUAAAGGACAACCGGUUGAAGAUGGGCAUGCGUUCCAUUAGCUAGUUGGCGGGGUAACGGCCCACCAAGGCAACGAUGGAUAGGGGAACUGAGAGGUUUAUCCCCCACACUGGUACUGAGACACGGACCAGACUCCUACGGGAGGCAGCAGUGAGGAAUAUUGGUCAAUGGACGCAAGUCUGAACCAGCCACGUCGCGUGAAGGAAGACGGCCCUACGGGUUGUAAACUCUUUUAUACGGGAAUAAAGUGCCCCACGCGUGGGGUUUUGCAUGUACCGUAUGAAUAAGGAUCGG